rnacentral:rRNA from 1 species
UACGUAGGGUGCGAGCGUUAUCCGGAAUUAUUGGGCGUAAAGAGCUCGUAGGCGGUUUGUCGCGUCUGUCGUGAAAGUCCGGGGCUUAACCCCGGAUCUGCGGUGGGUACGGGCAGACUAGAGUGCAGUAGGGGAGACUGGAAUUCCUGGUGUAGCGGUGGAAUGCGCAGAUAUCAGGAGGAACACCGAUGGCGAAGGCAUGAAUCUCUGGGCUGUAACUGACGCUGAGGAGCGAAAGA